rnacentral:lncRNA from 1 species
GGAUGUUGAGGGGCUCCGGCGUGGAUCUGUGGGCCCUGUUGGACACCGCGGUUGCGGUCGCGGCGGCGGACCAUGCCGAGGAGCUCCGCGCGCGGCGGGACGGCAUCGUGGAGCGGCUCUACGCUCCGCCGGCGUCGCUACAAAAAGAGGAGAAAGGGAGUAGCAGCCCGGUGAUGAAGACGGUGCACAGGGAAGAGGAUGAGGAGGACGUGGAGGUGAAUGUGGAAAAGAGGAACGUACUCGCCAUUAAGAAGUCCUUGGAAGACGCCGAUCAGGUGUAGCUCCUCGUCCUCCAACAGUCAUUCUUGAUUCGAUUGAAUAAUAAAAGAGAUCUUUCUUCUUUUGUCGUAGCGAUCGGAGGAUUCUCUGGUCGGCCUCUUACAAGAC